AAGCGCUUGCAACCAGACUUGCACGCGGUUAAUCAUCCGGUGUUCUCACCGGUGCACUUGACCGCGUUCAGGCCAGCAUUGGUUUUGGUGGUUGGAUAAAGGCCUAGGGAAUGUAGCUUCCUUCGGGGAGUGUUUAGCCCUUGGUGCAAUACAGCCUACUGGGACCGAGGACCGCGCUUUGGCUAGGAUGCUGGCGUAAUGGUUGUAAGCGA
rnacentral:rRNA from 1 species